GACCUGCGGAAGGAUCAUUACUAAACAAUGUGCGGGAUAUCCCACCGGGGACUCCUUAGCAAAACACAUCCAUGAGUACCCUUCCAUGUUGCUUCCCCAGACCAGUAGCCACUGCUGCCAGCUCAGUACCCUAAUCUGGGUUUCUUGGGUUGAGGUGUCUGGGGAAGGGCUCACUAUCAAACUUUUGAACCAAUUUAGUAGUCUGAAAAGGCCAUGUGCCGCAAACUUUAAUAUAUAUUAAAACUUUCAACAACGGAUCUCUUGGCUCUCGCAUCGAUGAAGAACGCAGCGAAAUGCGAUAAGUAAUGUGAAUUGCAGAAUUCAGUGAAUCAUCGAAUCUUUGAACGCACAUUGCGCCCUUUGGUAUUCCUUAGGGCAUGCCUGUUCGAGCGUCACUAAAAACCACCUCACAGUUAAUGUGGUAUUGGGAGAAGUGGGUUGUACUAACAGUACUUUGUCCUACUCUACCGAAAUCAAUAGGCCAGAAAAGUUGACCAUGGUAACAGGCUCUCAGAGUGUUUUAAAAUGCUAAACUAGUCUUACCCAGGUUGGAAUCUGAGCUACUGGACCCCCCAUUUAGUCCAAAAAAGAGAGGUUGACCUCGGAUCAGGUAGGGAUACCCGCUGAACUUAAGCAUA
rnacentral:rRNA from 1 species